rnacentral:rRNA from 1 species
CGGGUGAGUAAUGCGUGACCAACCUGCCCCAUGCUCCAGAAUAGCUCUUGGAAACGGGUGGUAAUGCUGGAUGCUCCAACUUGACGCAUGUCUUGUUGGGAAAGUGUUUAGUGGCAUGGGAUGGGGUCGCGUCCUAUCAGCUUGUAGGCGGGGUAAUGGCCCACCUAGGCUUCGACGGGUAGCCGGCCUGAGAGGGCGGACGGCCACAUUGGGACUGAGAUACGGCCCAGACUCCUACGGGAGGCAGCAGAC